rnacentral:snRNA from 1 species
GUCCCUUGGGGACAUCCGAUAAAAUUGGAACGAUACAGAGAAGAUUAGCAUGACCCCUGCGCAAGGAUGACGCGCUCACUUUGAUCUUCUCAUGCUAGAAUUUU